rnacentral:rRNA from 1 species
ACCCGCUGAACUUAAGCAUAUCAAUAAGCGGAGGAAAAGAAACCAACAGGGAUUGCCUCAGUAACGGCGAGUGAAGCGGCAACAGCUCAAAUUUGAAAUCUGGCCUUUACGGUCCGAGUUGUAAUUUGUAGAGGAUGUUUUGGGUACCGCCGUGGUUUAAAUUUCUUGGAACAGAAUGUCAGAGAGGGUGAGAGUCCCGUCUUGGAUCGCGGUAGGGCCUGUGUAAAACUCCUUCGACGAGUCGACUUGUUUGGGAAUGCAGGUCAAAAUGGGUGGUAAAUUUCAUCUAAAGCUAAAUAUUGGCCAGAGACCGAUAGCGCACAAGUAGAGUGAUCGAAAGAUGAAAAGCACUUUGAAAAGAGAGUUAAACAGUAUGUGAAAUUGUUGAAAGGGAAGCGCUGGCAACCAGACUCGUGCGCGGGGUUCCCCCUUGCUUCUGCUUGGGUCAUUUCCCCGUGUCCGGGCCAUCAUCAGUUUCGGGGGCCGGUCAAAGGCCUUGGGAAUGUAUCUACUCCUCCGGGGGUAGACUUAUAGCCCAGGGUGUCAUGCGGCCACUCGGGACUGAGGAACGCGCUUCGGCGAGGAUGAUGGCGUAAUGGUUGU